rnacentral:tRNA from 1 species
GCUGGGAUGGCGGAAUUGGUAUACGCGCUGGUCUCAAAAACCAGUGAGGGCGACCUCAUGAGAGUUCAAUUCUCUCUCCCAGCA